GGGGAUAUGGCUCAGUGGUGGAGCAUUUGCUUAGCAUGCACAAGACCCUGAGUUCCAUCCCCAGCACUGCCA
rnacentral:tRNA from 1 species